rnacentral:lncRNA from 1 species
AAGCUAGUGCUUGGAGUCUAGUGUAGUUCCUUAGUGGGUCAUGCUCUGGUAUAUGUAACAUCGGGACGGGAUGUUUUACUUUGUUUUCAUUUUCGGGUUGUUGAACAAUUUUACAUGUAAUGUAGUUACAUGGUUUGCAUGUUGUUAGAUUUCUAUCCGCUGCGAAUUGUGCAAUGUUUUAUUUUGAUUAAUAAAGGAGCAUGACAAGUUAUUUUGGUGAAUGGUGUGAAGU